rnacentral:tRNA from 1 species
GGGAUUGUAGCUCAGCGGUAGAGCGCUCACCUAGCAUGUGUGAGGCCCUGGGUUCGAUUCUCAGCACCA